rnacentral:rRNA from 1 species
UAGGGAAUCUUCCACAAUGGACGAAAGCCUGAUGGAGCAACGCCGCGUGUGUGAUGAAGGGUUUCGGCUCGUAAAACACUGUUGUAAGAGAAGAAUGACAUUGAGAGUAACUGUUCAAUGUGUGACGGUAUCUUACCAGAAAGGACGGCUAAAUACGUGCCAG